rnacentral:rRNA from 1 species
AUUGAACGCUGGCGGCAUGCCUAACACAUGCAAGUCGAACGGCAGCACGGUCUAGCUUGCUAGACUGGCGGCGAGUGGCGCACGGGUGAGUAAUGCGUAGGAAUAUGCCUUGAAGUGGGGGAUAACUUGGGGAAACUCAAGCUAAUACCGCAUAAUCUCUAAGGAGGAAAGCUGGGGACCUUCGGGCCUGGCGCUUUAAGAUGAGCCUACGUCCGAUUAGCUAGUUGGUAGGGUAAAGGCCUACCAAGGCGACGAUCGGUAGCUGGUCUGAGAGGAUGAUCAGCCACACUGGGACUGAGACACGGCCCAGACUCCUACGGGAGGCAGCAGUGGGGAAUAUUGGACAAUGGGGGCAACCCUGAUCCAGCGAUGCCGCGUGUGUGAAGAAGGCCUACGGGUUGUAAAGCACUUUCGGUGGGGAGGAGGAUUCAUAGGUUAAGAGCUAAUGGAUUGGACGUUACCCACAAAAGAAGCACCGGCUAACUCCGUGCCAGCCGCCGCAGUAAAAC